GGGUUGUGAGGUUAAGCGACUAAGCGUACACGGUGGAUGCCCUGGCAGUCAGAGGCGAUGAAGGACGUGCUAAUCUGCGAAAAGCGUCGGUAAGGUGAUAUGAACCGUUAUAGCCGGCGAUGUCCGAAUGGGGAAACCCAGUGCAAUUCGUUGCACUAUCGUUUGAUGAAUACAUAGUCAAACGAGGCGAACCGGGGGAACUGAAACAUCUAAGUACCCCGAGGAAAAGAAAUCAACCGAGAUUCCCCCAGUAGCGGCGAGCGAACGGGGAGCAGCCCGGAGUCUGAAUCAGCUUGUGUGUUAGUGGAAGCGUCUGGAAAGUCGCAGGGUACAGGGUGAUACUCCCGUACACUAAAACGCACAGGUUGUGAACUCGAAGAGUAGGGCGGGACACGUGGUAUCCUGUCUGAAUAUGGGGGGACCAUCCUCCAAGGCUAAAUACUCCUGACUGACCGAUAGUGAACCAGUACCGUGAGGGAAAGGCGAAAAGAACCCCGGCGAGGGGAGUGAAAAAGAACCUGAAACCGUGUACGUACAAGCAGUAGGAGCCUCUUUAUGGGGUGACUGCGUACCUUUUGUAUAAUGGGUCAGCGACUUAUAUUCUGUAGCAAGGUUAACCGUAUAGGGGAGCCGCAGGGAAACCGAGUCUUAACUGGGCGUUAAGUUGCAGGGUAUAGACCCGAAACCCGGUGAUCUAGCCAUGGGCAGGUUGAAGGUUGGGUAACACUAACUGGAGGACCGAACCGACUAAUGUUGAAAAAUUAGCGGAUGACUUGUGGCUGGGGGUGAAAGGCCAAUCAAACCGGGAGAUAGCUGGUUCUCCCCGAAAGCUAUUUAGGUAGCGCCUCGUGAACUCAUCUUCGGGGGUAGAGCACUGUUUCGGCUAGGGGGUCAUCCCGACUUACCAACCCGAUGCAAACUACGAAUACCGAAGAAUGUUAUCACGGGAGACACACGGCGGGUGCUAACGUCCGUCGUGAAGAGGGAAACAACCCAGACCGCCAGCUAAGGUCCCAAAGUCAUGGUUAAGUGGGAAACGAUGUGGGAAGGCCCAGACAGCCAGGAUGUUGGCUUAGAAGCAGCCAUCAUUUAAAGAAAGCGUAAUAGCUCACUGGUCGAGUCGGCCUGCGCGGAAGAUGUAACGGGGCUAAACCAUGCACCGAAGCUGCGGCAGCGACACUAUGUGUUGUUGGGUAGGGGAGCGUUCUGUAAGCCGUUGAAGGUGGCCUGUGAGGGUUGCUGGAGGUAUCAGAAGUGCGAAUGCUGACAUAAGUAACGAUAAUGCGGGUGAAAAACCCGCACGCCGGAAGACCAAGGGUUCCUGUCCAACGUUAAUCGGGGCAGGGUGAGUCGACCCCUAAGGCGAGGCCGAAAGGCGUAGUCGAUGGGAAACAGGUUAAUAUUCCUGUACUCGGUGUUACUGCGAAGGGGGGACGGAGAAGGCUAUGUUGGCCGGGCGACGGUUGUCCCGGUUUAAGCAUGUAGGCGGAUGUUCCAGGUAAAUCCGGAACGUUAUUAACGCUGAGGUGUGAUGACGAGGCACUACGGUGCUGAAGUGACAAAUGCCCUGCUUCCAGGAAAAGCCUCUAAGCAUCAGGUAACAUCAAAUCGUACCCCAAACCGACACAGGUGGUCAGGUAGAGAAUACCAAGGCGCUUGAGAGAACUCGGGUGAAGGAACUAGGCAAAAUGGUGCCGUAACUUCGGGAGAAGGCACGCUGAUAGGUAGGUGAAGUGGUUUACCCAUGGAGCUGAAAUCAGUCGAAGAUACCAGCUGGCUGCAACUGUUUAUUAAAAACACAGCACUGUGCAAACACGAAAGUGGACGUAUACGGUGUGACGCCUGCCCGGUGCCGGAAGGUUAAUUGAUGGGGUUAUCCGUAAGGAGAAGCUCUUGAUCGAAGCCCCGGUAAACGGCGGCCGUAACUAUAACGGUCCUAAGGUAGCGAAAUUCCUUGUCGGGUAAGUUCCGACCUGCACGAAUGGCGUAAUGAUGGCCAGGCUGUCUCCACCCGAGACUCAGUGAAAUUGAACUCGCUGUGAAGAUGCAGUGUACCCGCGGCAAGACGGAAAGACCCCGUGAACCUUUACUAUAGCUUGACACUGAACACUGGUCCUUGAUGUGUAGGAUAGGUGGGAGGCUUUGAAGUGUGGACGCCAGUCUGCAUGGAGCCAUCCUUGAAAUACCACCCUUUAAUGGCUGGUGUUCUAACGUGGGCCCGUUAUCCGGGUUGCGGACAGUGUCUGGUGGGUAGUUUGACUGGGGCGGUCUCCUCCUAAAGAGUAACGGAGGAGCACGAAGGUCAGCUAAUCCUGGUCGGACAUCAGGAGGUUAGUGCAAUGGCAUAAGCUGGCUUGACUGCGAGCGUGACGGCGCGAGCAGGUGCGAAAGCAGGUCAUAGUGAUCCGGUGGUUCUGAAUGGAAGGGCCAUCGCUCAACGGAUAAAAGGUACUCCGGGGAUAACAGGCUGAUACCGCCCAAGAGUUCAUAUCGACGGCGGUGUUUGGCACCUCGAUGUCGGCUCAUCACAUCCUGGGGCUGAAGUAGGUCCCAAGGGUAUGGCUGUUCGCCAUUUAAAGUGGUACGCGAGCUGGGUUUAGAACGUCGUGAGACAGUUCGGUCCCUAUCUGCCGUGGGCGCUGGAGAAUUGAGGGGGGCUGCUCCUAGUACGAGAGGACCGGAGUGGACGCAUCACUGGUGUUCGGGUUGUCAUGCCAAUGGCAUUGCCCGGUAGCUAAAUGCGGAAGAGAUAAGUGCUGAAAGCAUCUAAGCACGAAACUUGCCCCGAGAUGAGUUCUCCCUGACUCCUUGAGAGUCCUGAAGGAACGUUGAAGACGACGACGUUGAUAGGCCGGGUGUGUAAGCGCAGCGAUGCGUUGAGCUAACCGGUACUAAUGAACCGUGAGGCUUAACCUUACAACGCCGAAG
rnacentral:rRNA from 1 species